rnacentral:rRNA from 1 species
UACGAAGGGGGCUAGCGUUGCUCGGAAUCACUGGGCGUAAAGCGCACGUAGGCGGACGUUUAAGUCAGGGGUGAAAUCCCAGGGCUCAACCCUGGAACUGCCCUUGAUACUGGACGUCUCGAGUCCGGGAGAGGUGAGUGGAACUCCGAGUGUAGAGGUGAAAUUCGUAGAUAUUCGGAAGAACACCAGUGGCGAAGGCGGCUCACUGGCCCGGUACUGACGCUGAGGUGCGAAAGCGUGGGGAGCAAACAGG